UACAGAGGGGGCAAGCGUUGUUCGGAAUUACUGGGCGUAAAGGGCGCGUAGGCGGCCCGCUAAGUCGAACGUGAAAUCCCCGAGCUCAACUCGGGAACUGCGUCCGAUACUGGCGGGCUUGAAUCCGGGAGAGGGAUGCGGAAUUCCAGGUGUAGCGGUGAAAUGCGUAGAUAUCGAGAGGAACACCAAUGGCGAAGGCAGCUAUCUGGAUCGUAACUGACACUCAUGAGCGAAAGUGCGGGGAGCAAACAGG
rnacentral:rRNA from 1 species